UACGUAGGUGGCAAGCGUUGUCCGGAUUUAUUGGGUUUAAAGGGUGCGUAGCGGCCUUGUAAGUCAGUGCUGAAAUACCCCGGCUUAACCGGGGGGGUGGCAUUGAUACUGCAGGGCUUGAGUACAGAUGAGGUAGGCGGAAUUGACGGUGUAGCGGUGAAAUGCAUAGAUAUCGUCAAGAACACCGAUAGCGAAGGCAGCUUACUGGGCUGUAAACUGACGCUGAGGCACGAAAGUGUGGGGGAUCAAACAGG
rnacentral:rRNA from 1 species